UUGGCGGACGGGUGAGAAAUGCAUCGGAACGUGCCCAUGUCGUGGGGGAUAACGUAGCGAAAGCUACGCUAAUACCGCAUACGCCCUGAGGGGGAAAGCGGGGGAUUCUUCGGAACCUCGUGCGAUUGGAGCGGCCGAUGUCGGAUUAGCUAGUUGGUGGGGUAAAGGCCCACCAAGGCGACGAUCCGUAGCGGGUCUGAGAGGAUGAUCCGCCACACUGGGACUGAGACACGGCCCAGACUCCUACGGGAGGCAGCAGUGGGGAAUUUUGGACAAUGGGGGCAACCCUGAUCCAGCCAUGCCGCGUGAGUGGAGAAGGCCUUCGGGUUGUAAAGCUCUUUCGGCCGGGAAGAAAUCGUGGUCUCUAACAUAGGCCAUGGAUGACGGUACCGGACUAAGAAGCACCGGCUAACUACGUGCCAGCAGCCGCGGUAAU
rnacentral:rRNA from 1 species